UACGUAGGCAGCGAGCGUUGUUCGGAGUUACUGGGCGUAAAGGGUGCGUAGGCGGCGCGGUAAGUCGGGUGUGAAAUCUCGGAGCUUAACUCCGAAACUGCAUUCGAUACUGCCGUGCUUGGAGGACUGGAGAGAAGACUGGAAUUUACGGUGUAGCGGUGAAAUGCGUAGAUAUCGUAAGGAAGACCAGUGGCGAAGGCGGGUCUCUGGACAGUUCCUGACGCUGAGGCACGAAGGUCAGGGGAGCAAACGGG
rnacentral:rRNA from 1 species